rnacentral:tRNA from 1 species
GAAUGCAUAGCUCAGCUGGUUAGAGUCUCCCAACUUCAGUCGGGAACGGUCGGGGGUUCGAAUCCUUCUGCGUUCG